UAGGGAAUAUUGCUUAAUGGGCGAAAGCCUGAAGCGGCAACGCCGCGUGUGUGAAGAAGGCCUUCGGGUUGUAAAACACUUUUUGAGGGAAUGAGGAAGGACAGUACCCUCAGAAUAAGCCUCGGCUAGCUACGUGCCAGCAGCCGCGGUAAAACGUAGGAGGCGAGCGUUAUCCGGAUUUACUGGGCGUAAAGCGCGUGCAGGCGGCACGGCAAGUUGGAUGUGAAAGCUCCCGGCUUAACUGGGAGAGGUCGUUCAAAACUGCCGAGCUAGAGUGCGGGAGAGGGAGGUGGAAUUCCGGGUGUAGUGGUGAAAUGCGUAGAUAUCCGGAGGAACACCAGCGGCGAAAGCGGCCUCCUGGUCCGCAACUGACGCUCAGACGCGAAAGCUAGGGUAGCAAACGG
rnacentral:rRNA from 1 species